rnacentral:rRNA from 1 species
ACGAACGCUUGCGGCGUGCUUCACACAUGCAAGUCGAACGCUGAAGCUCAGCUUUUGUUGGGUGGAUGAGUGGCGAACGGGUGAGUAACACGUGAGUAACCUGCCCCCUUCUUUGGGAUAACGCCCGGAAACGGGUGCUAAUACUGGAUAUUCACUGGUCUUCGCAUGGGGGUUGGUGGAAAGGGUUUUUCUGGUGGGGGAUGGGCUCGCGGCCUAUCAGCUUGUUGGUGGGGUGAUGGCCUACCAAGGCUUUGACGGGUAGCCGGCCUGAGAGGGUGACCGGUCACAUUGGGACUGAGAUACGGCCCAGACUCCUACGGGAGGCAGCAGUGGGGAAUAUUGCACAAUGGGCGCAAGCCUGAUGCAGCGACGCCGCGUGAGGGAUGGAGGCCUUCGGGUUGUGAACCUCUUUCGCUCAUGGUGAAGCCGCAACAAUGGUUGUGGUGAGGGUAGUGGGUAAAGAAGCGCCGGCUAACUACGUG